GCUGUGGAAAGAAAGGCCAUGGGAGUGGGGGACACUGGCGGUUCCACUGAGCCAACGUUAACUUUUACCUCUCCAGUCUCCUCCGUCUCUCUGUUUAUGGAUGGCAGGUUAAGAAGGUGGCCAGACUGUACAAUACUGGGCUUUGAGGAGGCUUUAUCUCCCACUAGAGUUUAGCUGAGGGAUUUAUGGGAAGCUGCCGCCUUGCGAGAUGCUUGGGUUUGGAAAGAAAUGACUUUGGAGGACUGUGUCUUAACACCCCCAGUGUCACGACCAGCACAGUAGCUUCAAAUGGGUUAUAGAGAAGUGAGAAGCGACGAGCAGACUGCAAGACCAAACAUGAGGUGUACACACCAAGGACCCCCUGUCCAAUCUCUUCUUUCUUAUUCAGAAUCUCUGCAUUGCUAAACUGGGUGAAUGCCUUCUGUCAGCAGCCAGCUUGUAAUGACUGCUCCUAGGUGAGAUCGAAUGAAGGGCAGCAAGGUGGUAUAAGGAAAGGACUGAGGAUUGUUGACCUCUGGUCCGGAGCCUUGGCCAUUCCAGCGUGUCUUGCUUGCCUGCCUGACUGUGCCUGAGGGGAGAAAAUGGAACUGACAUCUCUACCGAGGCCUCCCUGGUCAAAUGCAAUCAUGUUGACUGAAAGCUCCCAUUGUGUUCAGUUCUCUAAACAACGAUCCCCCUACCCAGAGAGUGCACUUUGGCCAGAGGAAGAUGUGAUGAAGAGUCAUCUGUACCAUUGCCGAACCAUUUCAACAUCUCAUUUAAAACUGCAAGGAGUGGAGGUUGGUUUUGAAUUAUGUAUUAAACUUAGCUUCCAAAUAUAGCCUUGGCUGAGAAUCUCAGCUAAAUGUCCACCAAACAUCAAUCCUACAAACCACAGCUCUCACUCCCUUAUUUGCUGUCCUGGUUGUCACUUCCUAUAACUUUUCACUGUUGACGCUGGCAUUCUAGUGCCCAAUAUCGAACCCUCAAUAUUAAACCACCUACAACCUCCUUGCUCUUCAUUCUGUGUCUUGAGUCAUGAAAAGCACCAAGAUCUCCCAUUUAAUGUCCUCAGAGUACAUGAAAUCUGUCUGCAAUUUUGACGAGAGCACAAAUUGUUACUCAUUGUCCAGUGGGGAACACUUAGCUCUACCAGCCUUUCUCCAGUAUCAAAGCCUCUAUUAUACUCUCACUAAUAAUCACUAAUGGAAGCGGUGGUGCUCACGGCAAUCUUCAGAUUCAUCAAGACCAGAGCCUGAAAGACUCCCCAGGGCCUGUGCUGCUGGUGCCAAGAGGAGGUCUUGGCGUCUGGAUCUCUCCGUUCACUCUAUUCUUCCUUCCAGCAAAAGCUUCCCAUUCUACCCCAUCCCCACUCCCCCCUUUUUUCCUUUCAUUUCUACAAUAGCUCAUCAUCAAAAUGCAAUUAAUAUCAAAUAAUAGUAGGUGACACUCCUGCAAUGUAUCCCCUCACACCCCAGCUCCGCUCCAGUCAGGUUUUCAGUCAUUUAGAGGAUCAUUUCAACUCCUGAAAAUGCGAUCAUGUUAGA